UACGUAGGGGGCAAGCGUUGUCCGGAUUCAUUGGGCGUAAAGAGCGUGUAGGCGGCCAGGUAGGUCGGUUGUGAAAACUGGAGGCUCAACCUUCAGAGGUCGACCGAAACCAUCUGGCUAGAGUCCGGGAGAGGAGAGUGGAAUUCCUGGUGUAGCGGUGAAAUGCGCAGAUAUCAGGAAGAACACCCGUGGCGAAGGCGGGUCUCUGGACGGCAACUGACGCUGAGGCACGAAAGCGUGGGGAGCAAACAGG
rnacentral:rRNA from 1 species